GAUGAACGCUGGCGGCGCGCCUAACACAUGCAAGUCGAACGGCACCUAUCUUCGGAUAGAAGCGAGUGGCGAACGGCUGAGUAACACGUGGAGAACCUGCCCCCUCCCCCGGGAUAGCCGCCCGAAAGGACGGGUAAUACCGGAUACCCCGGGGUGCCGCAUGGCACCCCGGCUAAAGCCCCGACGGGAGGGGAUGGCUCCGCGGCCCAUCAGGUAGACGGCGGGGUGACGGCCCACCGUGCCGACAACGGGUAGCCAGGUUGAGAGACCGACCGGCCAGAUUGGGACUGAGACACGACCCAGACUCCUACGGGAGGCAGCAGUGGGGAAUCUUGCGCAAUGGGGGGAACCCUGACGCAGCGACGCCGCGUGCGGGACGGAGGCCUUCGGGUCGUAAACCGCUUUCAGCAGGGAAGAGUCAAGACUGUACCUGCAGAAGAAGCCCCGGCUAACUACGUGCCAGCAGCCGCGGUAAUACGUAGGGGGCGAGCGUUAUCCGGAUUCAUUGGGCGUAAAGCGCGCGUAGGCGGCCCGGCAGGCCGGGGGUCGAAGCGGGGGGCUUCAACCCCCCCGAAGCCCCCCGGAACCUCCGCGGCUUGGGUCCGGUAGGGGAGGGUGGAACACCCGGUGUAGCGGUGGAAUGCGCAGAUAUCGGGUGGAACACCGGUGGCGAAGGCGGCCCUCUGGGCCGAGACCGACGCUGAGGCGCGAAAGCUGGGGGAGCGAACAGGAUUAGAUACCCUGGUAGUCCCAGCCGUAAACGAUGGACGCUAGGUGUGGGGGGACGAUCCCCCCGUGCCGCAGCCAACGCAUUAAGCGUCCCGCCUGGGGAGUACGGCCGCAAGGCUAAAACUCAAAGGAAUUGACGGGGGCCCGCACAAGCAGCGGAGCAUGUGGCUUAAUUCGAGGCAACGCGAAGAACCUUACCAGGGCUUGACAUAUGGGUGAAGCGGGGGAGACCCCGUGGCCGAGAGGAGCCCAUACAGGUGGUGCAUGGCUGUCGUCAGCUCGUGUCGUGAGAUGUUGGGUUAAGUCCCGCAACGAGCGCAACCCCCGCCGCGUGUUGCCAUCGGGUGAUGCCGGGAACCCACGCGGGACCGCCGCCGUCAAGGCGGAGGAGGGCGGGGACGACGUCAAGUCAUCAUGCCCCUUAUGCCCUGGGCUGCACACGUGCUACAAUGGCCGGUACAGAGGGAUGCCACCCCGCGAGGGGGAGCGGAUCCCGGAAAGCCGGCCCCAGUUCGGAUUGGGGGCUGCAACCCGCCCCCAUGAAGUCGGAGUUGCUAGUAAUCGCGGAUCAGCAUGCCGCGGUGAAUGCGUUCCCGGGCCU
rnacentral:rRNA from 1 species